rnacentral:rRNA from 1 species
ACGAACGCUGGCGGCGUGCUUAACACAUGCAAGUCGAACGGAAAGGCCUGCUUUCCCUUGUGGAUUGCGGGUACUCGAGUGGCGAACGGGUGAGUAACACGUGAGUGAUCUGCCCCCAACUUGGGUAUAAGCCUGGGAAACUGGGUCUAAUUCCCGAUAGGACUGCAGGGUGGUGCCUGUGGUGGAAAACGAUUUUCUAGUGGUUGGGGAUGAGCUCGCGGCCUAUCAGCUUGUUGGUGGGGUAAUGGCCUACCAAGGCGGCGACGGGUAGCCGGCCUGAGAGGGUGGACGGCCACAUUGGGACUGAGAUACGGCCCAGACGCCUACGGGAGGCAGCAGUGGGGAAUAUUGCACAAUGGGCGGAAGCCUGAUGCAGCGACGCCGCGUGGGGGAUGACGGCCUUCGGGUUGUAAACUCCUUUCGACCGCGAGGAAGCCACCUGGUUGGAAGGGUGGUGACGGUAGUGGUAGAAGAAGCACCGGCUAACUACGUG